UUAUCUGAAAUUUAUUUUUAUCUAAUUUAAUCUAUAACUUAACAAAAUAUUAAUCAAAUCGUUAAUUUUAAAUGGGAUCCAAAUGUCAUGUUAGAAAACUUUCAAAAAUAAUAAAAAUAAAUUUAAGUAAAAUAACAACAAUUUGAGGACAUAAAAAAAUAUGUGUUUUUUUUCUGCAUGAAAGCAAUUUUCAUUUUUUACGGAAGAUAAAUGGUUGAUUUUACUUGGUGUAAGUAUAGUUUUUACGGGAUGUAAAUAUAAUAAACAUAAACUUUAAAAGGGGUUUUUAUAAUAUAUUCAAAAAAAUAUUCAUUUGAUAUGUUACUGAUUACCACAUAAGAGAGUGCGCAUGCUUAUUAAUUCAGAGUAACGUGGAGAUUAUUCCAGGAAAACCUGGUUAUAGUAUACGGCAUUGUUUAUUAAGUUAGGAUGUUUGUUUCGCGUAGGAUUGCUGGUACGUAUGAAAAUAUUCUUGUACUCGGUAUAUUUUUCUUGUUUUAUUUUGUUCACCAACUUAUUUUUAGACAUUUGAUAAAGUUCAAGCAUUGCCUGAAUCCUUAAUUGUAACUGGAAACCUAGACUUGCGAAACCUCAAGGGCUCUCUCUGUGAAGGUGAAGCUUGAAAGGGUCUUUGUCCGACCAUUUGCUGAUUAAGUGUGAGCAAACUCAAUAAAUUUCUUGAUAAUUUUAUGAUAUUUAAUGCCCUUUUUACUAACUGGGAAGCGACCAUCCUAAACGGCAUCCACGUGACUUCUGAUAUUGGAGGGUCCAUGAAGCCCAUCUCCCUGUGCAGAGAGCUGGCAUGACAUCCUAAUACAAUCUUGCCAUACCUUUUCUUACUUGCCACGUAGUUUCUUUUUUUUUUUUUCGCUUUUCUUCUCUCCUGUACAAUGAAUGAUGCGAAGAAGACACAAUGACAAAGUAUAUAAGAUUUGCCUGUCCUCCUUUAGAUAUCAAUCUCUGUGUAUAAAAGCAUGACAAGCUUGGAUUUGUUCUGU